UACGUAGGGUGCGAGCGUUAAUCGGAAUUACUGGGCGUAAAGCGUGCGCAGGCGGUUCGUUAAGUCAGAUGUGAAAGCCCCGGGCUCAACCUGGGAACUGCAUUUGAAACUGGCGGGCUUGAGUGUGGCAGAGGGGGGUGGAAUUCCGCGUGUAGCAGUGAAAUGCGUAGAGAUGCGGAGGAACACCGAUGGCGAAGGCAGCCCCGUGGGCCAACACUGACGCUCAGGCACGAAAGCGUGGGGAGCAAACAGG
rnacentral:rRNA from 1 species